UGCAAGUCUGGUGCCAGCAGCCGCGGUAAUUCCAGCUCCAAUAGCGUAUAUUAAAGUUGUUGCAGUUAAAAAGCUCGUAGUUGAACCUUGGGCUUGGUUGGCCGGUCCGCCUUUUUGGCGAGUACUGGACCCAACCGAGCCUUUCCUUCUGGCUAACCUUUCGCCCUUGUGGUGUUUGGCGAACCAGGACUUUUACUUUGAAAAAAUUAGAGUGUUCAAAGCAGGCCUUUGCUCGAAUAUAUUAGCAUGGAAUAAUAGAAUAGGACGUUAUGGUUCUAUUUUGUUGGCUUCUAGGACCAUCGUAAUGAUUAAUAGGGACGGUCGGGGGCAUCAGUAUUCAGUUGUCAGAGGUGAAAUUCUUGGAUUACCUGAAGACUAACUACUGCGAAAGCAUUUGCCAAA
rnacentral:rRNA from 1 species